CAAGUCGCACGAGAAAGUGGAGCAAUCCAUGAGUACAGUGGCGUACGGGUGAGUAACACGUGGGUAAUCUACCUCUUAGUGGGGAAUAACCCUGGGAAACCGGGGCUAAUACCGCAUAAGCUCGAGAGAGGAAAGCAGCAAUGCGCUGAGAGAGGAGCCCGCGGCCGAUUAGCUUGUUGGCAGGGUAAAGGCCUACCAAGGCAUAGAUCGGUAGCCGGCCUGAGAGGGCACACGGCCACACUGGCACUGAAACACGGGCCAGACUCCUACGGGAGGCAGCAGUGGGGAAUCUUGCACAAUGGGGGCAACCCUGAUGCAGCGACGCCGCGUGAGCGAUGAAGCCCUUCGGGGUGUAAAGCUCUUUCGUCAGGGAAGAUUAUGACGGUACCUGGAGAAGCAGCUGCGGCUAACUACGUGCCAGCAGCCGCGGUAAUACGUAGGCAGCGAGCGUUGUUCGGAGUUACUGGGCGUAAAGGGUGUGUAGGCGGUUGUUUAAGUUUGGUGUGAAAUCUCCCGGCUCAACUGGGAGGGUGCGCCGAAUACUGAAUGACUCGAGUGCGGGAGAGGAGAGUGGAAUUCCUGGUGUAGCGGUGAAAUGCGUAGAUAUCAGGAGGAACACCGGCGGUGUAGACGGCUCUCUGGACCGUAACUGACGCUGAGACACGAAAGCGUGGGUAGCAAACAGGAUUAGAUACCCUGGUAGUCCACGCCCUAAACGAUGCAUAUUUGGUGUGGGUCAUUCAGUUGAUCCGUGCCGGAGCUAACGCGUUAAAUAUGCCGCCUGGGGAGUACAGUCGCAAGGCUGAAACUCAAAGGAAUUGACGGGGGCCCGCACAAGCGGUGGAGCAUGUGGUUCAAUUCGACGCA
rnacentral:rRNA from 1 species